rnacentral:rRNA from 1 species
GUAAGGAAUAUUGGACAAUGGACGCAAGUCUGAUCCAGCCAUGCCGCGUGAAGGAUUAAGGUCCUCUGGAUUGUAAACUUCUUUUAUAAGGGACGAAAAAAGGCUUUUCUAAGUCGUCUGACGGUACCUUAUGAAUAAGCACCGGCUAACUCCGUGCCAGCAGCCGCGGUAAUACGGAGGGUGCAAGCGUUAUCCGGAUUCACUGGGUUUAAAGGGUGCGUAGGCGGGCAGGUAAGUCAGUGGUGAAAUCCUAGAGCUUAACUCUAGAACUGCCAUUGAUACUAUCUGUCUUGAAUAUUGUGGAGGUAAGCGGAAUAUGUCAUGUAGCGGUGAAAUGCUUAGAUAUGACAUAGAACACCUAUUGCGAAGGCAGCUUACUACGGGGUGAUUGACACUGAGGCACGAAAGCGUGGGGAGCAAACAGGAUUUGAUACCCGUGUAGUCC